rnacentral:tRNA from 1 species
GCCUCCGUGGCGCAAUCGGUUAGCGCGUUCGGCUGUUAACCGAAAGGUUGGUGGUUCGAGUCACCCGGUGGCG